AUGUCUCACGUGGUUAACUUCUUCUCCUCUGUGCUCUCUGCCAAGCCUGAGGUAGGCUUUAGACUGGCCAAUUCUUUCUGGGCCUCUCAAGAUCAGGUUUCGAGUGAGGAUAACGACGUCUUGCUGAUUCCCCCUUCUGAUGAGGAGAUUUUUGACACGUUACGCACAGCCAAUUCUAAUGCGGCUUCAGGACCUGAUGGUUUCUCCAUUCCCUUCUUUAGGCAAUUCUGGCCUCAGCUGCGGGAUCUUGUCCAGGCUAUCAUUCAAGGCUUCUGGCUGGGAACCGUUGAUAUUUCUCGUCUAAACUAUGCGGUGCUAACUCUUAUUCCUAAAGUCAAAGGGGCAGACUUGAUUACUCAGUUCAGGCCUAUAGCCUUGAUCAAUAAUUUCGCGAAGCUUUCGGCUAAAGGCUUUGCCACUAGGCUAUCCCCCAUUGCCCAUCGCUCCCUUAGCCCAUUCCAAAUAGCUUUCAUUAAGGGCAGGUUCAUUCUGGAUCAUAUUCUAUGUCUUCAUGAGAUCGUUUAUGAUCUGCGAGCCUGUGGCUCCAAAGCGGUGAUUCUAAAACUGGACUUCGAAAAAGCUUACGAUUCGGUCAGUUGGAAAUUCCUCCGGCAAGUGCUA
rnacentral:rRNA from 1 species